rnacentral:rRNA from 1 species
AUUGAACGCUGGCGGCAUGCUUUACACAUGCAAGUCGAACGGUAACAGGCCUUCGGGUGCUGACGAGUGGCGAACGGGUGAGUAAUGCAUCGGAACGUACCCAGAGGUGGGGGAUAACGCAGCGAAAGCUGUGCUAAUACCGCAUGUGAUCUGAGGAUGAAAGCGGGGGACCGAGCAGCAAUGUUUGGCCUCGCGCCUUUGGAGCGGCCGAUGUCGGAUUAGCUAGUUGGUGGGGUAAUGGCCUACCAAGGCGACGAUCCGUAGCUGGUCUGAGAGGACGACCAGCCACACUGGGACUGGGACACGGGUCAGACUCCUACGGGAGGCAGCAGUGGGGAAUUUUGGUCAUUGGGCGCAAGCCUGAUCCAGCAAUGCCGCGUGCGGGAAGAAGGCCUUCGGGUUGUAGAGCGCUUUUGGCAGGAACGAAACGGUGUCCGCUAAUACCGGGCGCUAAUGACGGUACCUGCAGAAUAAGCACCGGCUAACUACGUG